ACAAGUGCUGAGUAAUUAUGAGUCUAUAAAUAUAUGAGAGUUGAUGACUUGUUGAUGGAAAGAUUUAUAUAUGUAUAAUGAGUUCAAAAUAUUCGUCACCAUAAAUCGAAGGUCGGGUCAUUGCCACUAAAAGUGUCUGUUAAAAAUGAUAUUGUUGGAUACUUUGUUAUUUUUAUUUUAAGAAUGAGAAUGGGUGAUAUUAAUAUUGGGAUUAAACUUGAGAGGAUUCGAGUGGAAUCAUUGGAGAACAAAUACUUGGACAUGAGAAUCUGCUCUAUCGAAAUUAAAACAACUGGAGCGUAAUUUUGAAGAGUAUGAGGGAGCGAUCGUAAGUAAGAUUUAUCCGAGAUGUCUUGAGCAGAUUUUAUAAAAGUUGGGAGUGCAUUUGACAUAAUUCAAUAAUUACGUCAAUAAAAGGGUAUAAAAUGGACGAGAGUUUGUGGAAAAUCUCAAGUUGUCCGCGAGCGUUACUGCUAACAAGAUCUCAAAUUCGGAUUGAUAAUUAUUAACAG